rnacentral:rRNA from 1 species
CCUACGGGUGGCAGCAGUGGGGGAUAUUGCACAAUGGGGGAAACCCUGAUGCAGCGACGCCGCGUGAGUGAAGAAGCGCCUCGGCGCGUACAGCCCUGUCAGCAGGGAAGAAACUGACGGUACCUGAAGAAGAAGCCCCGGCUAACUACGUGCCAGCAGCCGCGGUAAUACGUAGGGGGCAAGCGUUAUCCGGAUUUACUGGGGGUAAAGGGGGCGCAGACGGCGAUGCAAGCCAGGAGUGAAAGCCCGUGGCCCAACCCCGGGACUGCUCUUGGAACUGCGUGGCUAGAGUGCAGGUGGGGCAGGCGGAAUUCCUGGUGUAGCGGUGAAAUGCGUAGAUAUCAGGAGGAACACCGGUGGCGAAGGCGGCCUGCUGGACUGCAACUGACGUUGAGGCCCGAAAGCGUGGGGAGCAAACAGGAUUAGAUACCCUGGUAGUC